rnacentral:rRNA from 1 species
GACGUAGGGCGCGAGCGUUGUCCGGAUUUAUUGGGCGUAAAGAGCUCGUAGGCGGCUUGUUGCGUCGACCGUGAAAACCUGUGGCUUAACUACAGGCUUGCGGUCGAUACGGGCGGGCUGGAGUUCGGUAGGGGAGACUGGAAUUCCUGGUGUAGCGGUGAAAUGCGCAGAUAUCAGGAAGAACACCCGUGGCGAAAGCGGCUCUCUGGAACGGUACUGACGCUGAGACGCGAAAGCGUGGGGAGCGAACAGG